rnacentral:rRNA from 1 species
CCUGGCGGCAAUAGCGAGUGGGAACCACCCGAUCCCAUCCCGAACUCGGAAGUGAAACUGCUCAGCGCCGAUGAUAGUGUGGGGUUUCCCCAUGUGAAAGUAGGUCACUGCCAGGG